rnacentral:rRNA from 1 species
UACAGAGGUCCCAAGCGUUGUUCGGAUUCACUGGGCGUAAAGGGUGCGUAGGUGGCGUGGAAAGUUUGAUGUGAAAGCUCAGGGCUUAACCCUGAAAUGGCAUUGAAUACUACCGUGCUGGAGGUUUGGAGGGGGGACUGGAAUUCUUGGUGUAGCAGUGAAAUGCGUAGAUAUCAAGAGGAACACCAGUGGCGAAGGCGAGUCGCUGGACAAGUAUUGACGCUGAGGUGCGAAAGCGUGGGGAGCAAACAGG